CCCCUGGUGGUCUAGUGGUUAAGACUCCAUGCUUACAAUAUAGGGGCUAUGGGUUUGAUCCCUGUUUAGGGAA
rnacentral:tRNA from 1 species